UACGGAGGGGGGCUAGCGUUGUUCGGAAUUACUGGGCGUAAAGCGCACGUAGGCGGACUGUUAAGUCGGGGGGUGAAAUCCUGGGGCUCAACUCCGGGCCUGCAGCCGAUACGGGCAGACUAGAGUUCGGCAGGGGGAGACUGGAAUUCCUGGUGUAGCGGUGGAAUGCGCAGAUAUCAGGAGGAACACCGGUGGCGAAGGCGGGUCUCUGGGCAGUAACUGACGCUGAGGAGCGAAAGCGUGGGGGAGCGAACAGG
rnacentral:rRNA from 1 species